UUUCCUAUGUUAAGCAUCCAUAUUUUUGAAGAAAGUGAUGAUGGUUUGUUUCGCAGAGGAAUCGUUUAAUUUUCUUUUUUUCUCGUAUUCCCCGAAAGAAACUAAGAAAUCCAAUGAGGAACGAACAGCACACAGGGUGUUGUCGAAGAGGAACACGUAGUCUAGAUUAUGAGAACAAAUUUGAAAUUCUAGACAAUGCUCUUGAGCAAUGUGUCCGUUGUUUUUGACUUCGUUUAAUGUUGUGGCUGAAUUGGACAAUGAGAGAUUGAAUCAACAACAUAUCAAGUGGGCAGCUCAUGGUCAAACUCGUUUGGCAUAAAGGGUUUGUUAGAUAAGGGUGGAGGCAGCUUUAACAAUUUAGAUCUAGCACCUAUUAGACUGGUGGUGUUGGCCCCGUGAAUCUUAUCGUCUUCAAGCUGGGUGAAAAAACAAUGAUUCAGUUGGUUUCGUGCAACAUCCUCACAAAAAUGCAACAAGACUUAACAAAUAGAGCAUAUAGAUGCAGUGUCGAUCUGUACCAGUGAGUACCAGAGUAAUGUGACAAGCAUUCAUGAUGGUGAUUAAUCUUCACACA